GGCUUUUCUAAAGGAGAAUAGUUCGUGAUAUAUCAACAUGACUAAUGUUAAAAUAAAAAAAGACUAAGUAAUAAAAUAUUUACUUUAAUUUGAAAAUAAAAUGAAAUGACCAUUCUCGGGAAUUUAAUUAAAUUAAAACUAUAAGAUAAUUAAAGUGUUAGUCAAAUACAAAUAAAGUAAGUAAGAGAGGGAAAGGGAAUAUUCCAAUUUGGGCCUAUUGCUGCGUUUUGGGCCUCUUUCAACCCAUUUUCGCUCCUGAAAAUCGUGAUACAGCAAGUGUAUACUUUGCAUACGGGUCGUAUUUUGACCCGUUUUCUUGUAUAUCAGACCAUAUACCAAGUAUAUACAAUCCUUUUGACGCUGCAACCUGUACUUUCAUUUUUCAAACCCGUAUACUGCAUUUCCAGCUGUAUACCAAUGUACACAACAUGUAUAUCAGUGUAUACGUGCCAUUUUCAGCCAUGAUUUUAGCUUUUUCCAAAAUGUAUUUUCCAUUUCCAGACCUGCUGACUCAAUAGAAAGAAGUAUUGGGCCUAUUAUGCCCAAUCCACGAAAUGCACGUAUAGAGAGUGGAGUUCAAAUGGACUCGGAUGAAGUUUCACAUGUGCAAAAAUAUAAAGACAAAGGAUUAGUUUAUUCACAACAAAAGGAUGAGCUUUUAUCUAUACUACUAAUCAAACCAAUUAUCUAAAGUAUUGAUCAUGUCUAUUGUUAACUCAACCCCGCCAAAUUUAAACAAAAUGGGGAUUCAAAAAAAAAAAACGUUAGGAAAUAAACUCAUGUGGAGAGGGAAUAAUAUGACGGCUUAAGCUAAGGACAAACAUAAUCAUACUCUUGCACAUUUAGAUUUAAAAGAGAACAUGAAACGAUCAAAUAAAAUAAAAUAAAAUAAAAUAAAACAAUAUUUGCAAUAAAAUGAGUUGACAUGAGCAUCACGUUUCAAGUAAAAAUAUUGCAUGCUUAUUUUUCUAAUAAUGAACAGACACAUGACUAGUGAAGAUUAAAAGAGAUGCUAAAAUUCUCAACAAUAUUUAAUAAAUCAAAAUUAAACCAUAAAGAUUUGUAUCCACGUAUAAUCGCUUUUUAUGUAUACCCAAUGACUAAAUUAACACCAUUAUUAUAUCUAAAAUCUAAAUAGCAUCAUAAAUCUAUUAAUAAUAAGCCAACACGUUCCAACCAAUCACUAAGCAUUUCAAUUUGGUAAAAUAAAUAAGUGAUCAUAGAUUUGCAAGGAUUGAAAUAACUAUAAUCAAUGGACCACAAUUUAUUAUAUAUAUAUGUUAAACGGGCCAAACACAUGAAUACAAACACUUAGAAAAUAUUAACAUCCUCACCCACAAAAGGACCAGUGUAUUUCCAACAUGCUUCAUACCAUAAAACAUUCAAUGAGGCCACAAGCUAGCUGUAUAAGAUUCAUACUUCUUGAUACAUAAAUAAAAGAACCAACUGGGAGAUGAAGUUAAUAUUUAUUCACCCCUUUUUAAAAAAAUAAAAUAAAAUAAUAAUAAUAGUAAUAAAACACUAUGAUGAACAAUCAGAGACCAUUUCAAAGUCGAGAACAUAAGAAAUUAAUCAGGCCUAUAUUUACACAUACUAAAAUCCCAACAACGAAGAAGUUCAAAACUAGAUAAGGGUCGCAAAACAGAACCAAAUAUAGAAUGUGGAUUCUGGAACGGAAUAAGAAGGAACGAGGAAUUUUACCUUUCUCCGGGCACCGAACCGAGACAGAACGAGCAGAAAAUGAGCAACUCCUCCACCGACAACUUAGAAAAUUCCAACAAGCAGCGGUAGGGUCGUGUUCGGAAUAAGAGGCUGGCAAUGAGGUGCUCCUUGAAAUACUUGUUGAUUUUUGUGUCUAUUCUAGACUCAAAGAAACUUAUCUAUUUCACUUAUCUUAUCCCUUUUUCUUGACUAAAAAAUUUU
rnacentral:lncRNA from 1 species